rnacentral:ncRNA from 1 species
CUAAAAACGUUGAAAGGGAAUAGUAGGCAAUCAACCCUUCAGAGAGCGGAACCGGUACGCUGUGAAGUUCCGCAGGAUGUAGUUGCCGAAGUCGCCCCGGAGUUGUUUGCUCGAUCCUUGUUCCACGGCAGCGCGCAAAAAUCGAAGGCGUUGAAAUAGCAAGGCGAAAGCGAACCGGCCGCAGCCGUUAUCUGUAAGAGUGUCGCGUGCAUCGGCGAUUUGCGCCCCUUACUCGCAUGCGAAACAAAGGUGGUACCACGGAAGAUAGCCUUUCGUCCUUUGA